rnacentral:lncRNA from 7 species
GGUACAAAGGUGAGACUAGGUGCUUUGUGGCCUUGUUGCUUGCUGUUUCUGCUCUAGUUCCUCAUAUUUCAGAUCAAUUUUAUUUUAGUUCCCGUUGGCCUACUCCUAGAAGAGAACUGGUGUGUUGCAUACAGUCACUUGAUUUGUUCAGAUUACCUAAGUACUUUGGUUAAUUCACAUACAUGUUCAUUUCUAUUCGCCAAACUGUUUCCCAAUUCAGACUAUUGCAUUGCUGGACAAAGUUUUAUUCUAUCAAUAUGAAUUCUCUAUUGGCACUUUUGAUGCAGAUAUGUGUAAUGUCGAUUGAUGGCAUUUAAAAAUCAGUUUUGGUUAUCUAC